GAUGAACGCUGGCGGCGUGCCUAAUACAUGCAAGUCGAGCGAACGGACGAGAAGCUUGCUUUUCUGAUGUUAGCGGCGGACGGGUGAGUAACACGUGGAUAACCUACCUAUAAGACUGGGAUAACUUCGGGAAACCGGAGCUAAUACCGGAUAAUAUUUUGAACCGCAUGGUUCAAAAGUGAAAGACGGUCUUGCUGUCACUUAUAGAUGGAUCCGCGCUGCAUUAGCUAGUUGGUAAGGUAACGGCUUACCAAGGCAACGCUGCAUAGCCGACCUGAGAGGGUGAGCGACACCGCUGGAACGGAGCCGCGGUCCAGCCUCCUGGGGGAGGCAGCAGUGGGGAAUCUGCCGUAGUGGGAGAAAGCAUGACGGAGCAACGCGUCGUGGGUGAUGAAGUUCUGCGCAUAGAAAAACUUUGUUAGUGGGGAAGAACAGAGGUGUAGGAAACUGUGCACAUCUAGACGGUACUACAACAGAAAGCCGGGGCAAAAUACG
rnacentral:rRNA from 1 species